rnacentral:rRNA from 1 species
CACGUAGGGGGCGAGCGUUGUCCGGAAUUACUGGGCGUAAAGGGCGCGCAGGCUGUUAUGCGAGUCUGCUGUGAAAUGUACCGGCUCAACCGGUGCCUUGCGGCGGAUACUGCAUAGCUGGAGUACUGGAGAGGGAAGUGGAAUUCCAAGUGUAGUGGUAAAAUGCGCAGAUAUUUGGAGGAACACCGGUGGCGAAGGCGGCUUCCUGGACUGUAACUGACGCUGAGGCACGAAAGCGUGGGGAGCAAACAGGAUUAGAUA